GUGCUAGCUUGUGUGAAGACCUUCUCGAUGGUUGAUCUACUCCUCUUCAGAUCUCCCAGACUCUUUCAGAUCUAAAGAUGGAAUAUAGAGGAGGAUGUGGUGAUGGAAGAAGACAAAGAUGAGAACUCUCUUCUCUCUUUUCUUUCUUCCCAAAAUCCUGAAAUCAGAUCUAGGUUUUUACUCACCCAAGAAGAGAAAGAUAUCUUCUAAUCUCACACACCUAGGAUGGCCACCCACCACAAGACCUCACACCCC
rnacentral:lncRNA from 1 species